ensembl:lincRNA
GGGACCACAGAUGGAUCAGAUGGUUCCUGAGAACCCAGGUGAAAGACUUACAUUUUGGAAGGGAGAAAUGGAAGCUCCCUUUUUUGUUUGUUUUGUUUUUAAAGCCUUCCAAAAUGAUUGUGAACAGUGACUGCAGCCAUGAAAUUAAAAGAUGCUUGCUCCUUGGAAGAAAAGCUAUGAUAAACCUAGACAACAUAUUAAAAAGCAGAGACAUCACUUUCCCAACAAAAGUCCCUAUAGUCAAAGCUAUGGCUUUUUCAGUAGUCAUGUAUGGAUGUGAGAGCUGGACCAUAAGAAGGCUGAGAACUGAAGAACUGAUGCUUUUGAGCUGUGGUGUUGGGGAAGACUCUUGAAAGUCCCUUGGACAGCAAGGAAAUCAAACCAGUCAAUCCUGAAGGAAAUCAGUCCUGAAUAUUCAUUGGAAGGACUGAUGCUGAAGUUGAAGCUCCAAUACUUUGGCCACUUGAUGUGAAGAGAUGACUCAUUGGAAAAGACCUGGGAAAGAUGCUGGGAAAGAUUGAAGGCAGGAGGAGAAGGGGAUGACAGGGGACGAGAUCGUUGGAUGGCAUCACUGAGUCAAUGGACAUGAGUGUGAGCAAGCUCCAGGAGAUGGUGAAGGACAAGGAAGCCUGGUUUGCUGCAGUCCAUGGGGUCGCAAAGAGUCAGACAUGACUGAGUGACUGAACAACAAGUAACCCAUGCCCACAAUUGUAGCAGAGCUUUGCAGGAGCAAUUGGACAGAGAAAAGUACAUAAAACAAAGAUGCUUUUAAAUUCACUGACUGAGAGAACCUCCCAAUGACAGAAAAUUAACAAACAAGAAACAAAGAGAGGGUCUUACUGGGAAGUGGCCUCUGGGGCACUUUGGCCAGCCCAGCCCAACUCAUCUCUCAACUGGCCCUUCUGCAAGGGGGCCAGUGGGAAACUCAAGCCUGAGGUGGGAACACAAAACAAACAAGUGGUGGUGAAAACGGUGACCCAGCAGGGAGUCUCUUGGAUGCAAAAGGACAGGAGUGUAGACCCUCAUUCUCUUUCCAAUAAUGUCCCCAUCGAUCCUCGGCCCAGAGAUGGUCAGCCACGGUGUGAGGUUCAAGGAGAAGUUGAUCAAAAGGUCUUUGUCUCCUGUGAUUUUGGUAAAGGUAAGACCAAGUACAUGAGUCCAUUGGGAGAGGAAGUGAAAUGUAUGAAUGCCUGGGAAACACAGACUGACACACUCAGAGACACUGGAGCCUUGCUCAAGGAGCAGAUGCCUGACGUUACACCAGAGAAACACCCAGACAAGGGUGAGUUAGAAAAUCCAAAUGCAGGAGGAGUAGCCUGGGGGCUUAGCUGCAUCCACUAUUUUUGGAAUUAAAAAAAAAGGGUACUAUCCUUCCCUAGUAGUCCAAUGGAAAGAGCAGCUGUUGCAGGGGAGACCAGGGCCAGAUUAGCUGGGCCCAGGGGAGGUGGACCCCGGUGGGUAAGAAUCUGUCAAGCCCAGAGGCUGAGCUCUUUCUUUUCCUCCGUGGGGUCAGGCCCUCUCACCCUGCAGGCCAGGAUGAAAUGCUGUUGAGAAGACAGCAGACACAUCAGUGCAUCCUGGGAGUUUGGCUUCAAAGGACAAUUGUGGCUGCCCUUUAAUUUGGACGAUGGACCCUGUACAGUGCAUCAUGCUGGAGGGAGGCGGAUGAAAAGGAAGAGGGAGAAUGACAGAGCUGUGACCGACUGCUUCAAGAAGGUCUGCAGGAGAGCCUGUCGGCUCUGUCAUCAGGCUCUCUUGGUGUGCUGGGAGAACACCAUGGGCAAGUGAGAAGGGUAGGAGAAAGUGGUAGUUCUCUCUUGGUGACAUGGACCCACCCCUGUGUGUUUGUGAAAAUGAUCCGUCAGAGGUGAGCUGUCCUGGGAGAACAAUGGCCCGGGGAUGCUCUGUGACCCUCCUUCCUCGUCCACCUCCUGGCGUCUCUCCUCACAGCACAGGCCUUUGUACUGUUGGACACGGAUUCUCACUGACCCUAAACAUGAGAGCAUCUCUGUGAUUCCACUCUCCUUCUUACUAUUCCCUCUUUCUGGAACCUUCUUUUAAAUGUCCCCAUCCUCCUUCUGGAAAUCUGUCAAUACCGCCUCUGCUGUCAGCUCCUGAGGACUCCAUCCUGAUGUCACCAUCUCUGAUGUCACAGCAGGACUGAGUGACUCUGUUGGAAAUCUUGCUUCCCCAUUAGCUGUCAGAGUCCCAUGGGGACUGGGCUCCUCCCUCCCUCCCAUCUUGCCUGAGGACCUGUCACAAGGGCCUCCACGUGUGGGUGCAAACAGGCUGCAUAGUAGGGGUACCUGGGUCAGGGGGGCUGAGGCGGCAUCUGCCGAGUUUGGGGCCUGGACGAGGGCUUCACCCUUAUUCUCCUUGCAGCAUCACAGACUACAGGCCCCCCUACAGUGAAGUCCUCGGCCACAGCCAUCAAGCACAUCACCUGGAUCCUCCCCGUGCUCCUCACCAGUUUCAUCAUAACUGUCUUCCUGGGCUGAGUCGUUUCCAGGAGCAGGUAUUGAGGGCAGAAUUCAGAGGGAAGGCAGGGUCACAGGGCCUGGUGUGAGGCUGGGGAAGGUGAAUCCCAGCCAACCCCUGGCCCUCACUGAACCUCCUCACCCUGGAAAUGAGCAGGUGAAUAAGACCCCAUAUCACCUGAGAGCAAGAACUGCAGACUCAACUCCAAAGGCCUGUUCUCACAGGAAGUGGCGUGGGUCAAGCAGGCAAGGCAGGAGCCCCACAGCAGAGACUGUGGGAAGGGGUGAGGCCAGGCCUGUGCUCCUAGAGCAGCAGUAGGUCUGACUCAGUGUGGCCUGCACGUCACCAACCUCCUGGGGACCCAGAGCCUCCAUCACUGAGCCGCCCUGCCUUGAGCAGAGGUGCCUGGGGAUGGGUGGGCCUGAUUUGGGGUGGAGGCGCCCAGCUGGGCGGGACCAGGAAGAGAUGGGGGCAGGGACCCUGGUCCUGAGAGCUGUGUGUGCUGCUCAGAAGCUGGAGGGCAGUGAAGGAAGGUUUCCCUGCAGCUCCCCAAGGCUGUCAGGAAGCAAGGCCCCUCCUCUGGGGACCUGCUCCCUGGUCCUUUAGGCCCCCCUCGGGGAGGAUCCAGACCUGAUUAAAGGGAGCAGAUUGAUUCCUCACUGGCUCCAGUCCUGAGCCUGAGCAGGGUGUGUCAGGGCCUGGGGUGACUCUGUGAUGCACGAAGGAAGGAGGAGGUGACAAGAAGCUGCUGGGCCUGGGUUGGGGGUGGGGGUGGAGGACAUAGGAGCCCCUCAGUGAGGGCGGGGCUGGAGGCCUGGGGAGGGGCACCCCCAGGAAAGUGACAGGAGUUCCUCAGCCUCCUGGACCAAGGCCUCUUUCUUUUCUACAGGAGACGGUGCUCCCAGGAAGUGUGACAAGUGCUCUGUCGGCCUUUCUCCUGCUCUUCACUUUAGAUCCAGGAGAUCAGACCCCGUGAAUCCUCAGUGUUUUCCGGUUACGAUGACACAGUAGAUGCAUCAUCUCAUGGGCUUUAUCACUUUUGACGAAAUCCUACUCAGCACUUUAAAAAAAAAAAAAAAACAGGAACAAUUUAUUUGGCCACUUUCUCCUGGUGCUAAUUGGUGGUAUUUCUACACUGAAAUAUUCAAGUCCUUGAAGAAAUCUCCACAAACAGGACAUUUUUCAUCUUAUUCUAGUUUGUGGAUAAUUAAACUCUGCCUCGUGACCUCAUUCCUGCAAAUGAUAUUGCAAGAAAAAUACCGUCUGCCAUUGCAGGACUCAGUGAUUCUUUCUGUGUCUGGAGAAAUCACCUCAACCUAUUUCAAUAAAAGAAAGUUUUAUUUAUGACUAUUUCCCUUAAUAAUUUAUUAUGAUGAAAGUGAAAGUGGUAGUCGCUCAGUCGUAUCCCACGUUUUGUGACCCCAUGGACUGUAGCCCGCCAGGCUGCUCUGUCUAUGGGAUUCUCCAGGCAAGAACACUGAAGUGGGUUGCUGUUUCCUUCUGCAGCAGACCUCUCCAACUCAGGGAUUGAACCCACGUCUCCUGUGUCUCCUACGUUGGCAGGCAGAUUCUUUACCAUCUGAGCCACUGGGGAAGGCAAUUUAUUAUGCUAGAGCUAUUUAAGUCAACAUUUCAGUACUCCAGAAAACUUGAAGUAUACAAGAUUUUUGUUUUCUAACCCAUGAGAGAGGUCAUGAUGUCUCACCAUUUCUCCGUCUUAUGCGAUUCAGUGCACCUGGUGAUAUGGAGGAAACAGAGUCUGAGAGGACACGUGCACCCUGUGUUCAUGGCAGCGCUGCUCAUAGUAGCCAGACCUGGAAGCCACCUAAACGUCCACCCACAGGUAAAUGGAUAAAGAAGAUGUGGGACAUAUACACAGGGCAAUAUUACUCAGCCAUCAAAAAGAAAGAAAUAAUGCCAUGUGUAGCAACAUGCAUGGCCCUGGAGAUUGUCAUAUUGAACAACAUAAGUCCAACAGAGAGGCAGAAGCAUCUGUUGACAUCCUUUACACUCAGAAUCAAAAAAGUCGUGAUAUAAAUGCUCUUCCUUACAAAACAGAAAGAGAUCACAGACUUAGAGAAUGAAUUUAUGGUUGCCAGGGGGAAAGGAUGAAGGGAAAGGGAUAGUCAGGGAGUCUGGGAUCAACAUGUACACACUGAUUUAUUUAAAAUGGAUAACCAGCAAGGACCUACUGUAUAGCACAUAGAACUCUGCUCAAUGUUAUGUGGCAGCCUGGGUGGGGAUGGGAGGGGAGCUGGGGAAGAAUAGAUGCAUGUAUGGAAGUGAAAGUGAAAGAAGGUUAGUUACACAGUCAUGUCUGACUCUUUGGGAUCCCGUGGACUAUCAGCUGCCAGCUCCUCUGUUCUUGGAAAUCUCCAGGCAAGGGAGGACUGGAAUGGGUUGCCAUUUUCUUCUCCAGGGGAUCUUCACGACCCAGAGAUUGAACCCGGGUCUCCUGCACUGCAGGCAGAUUCUUUACUGCCUGAGCUACAAGGGAAGCCCUGUAUACGUGUGUUAAAUCCGCUUCUUUGUGCUGCUCAUUCAGGACUCCUGCACUCCUCUCUGGAUGUAUAUUUCUACCUUGCUUCCAUCUUAUAAACAAACUAUUUCUGUAUGUCUCCAGCAAUAACUUUGGUAUCUGUUUUUAUAGUUUUUGGCUUCUUGAAACAUUCUUGCUUUCAAAGAUGGUAAGAGCCAAGGGAACUUUGCAUCUCCCGCCUGGUGUUUAGUGUCUAGAACUCCUCAUUUUACACCAAGCUACCUAGGUUCAAUUCCUGGGCAGGAAACUAAGAUCCCUCUUUAGCACCGCUCACUGUGCUCCCUCUAGAUCAAUAUUAAGGAAAUAUACACCUUAUAUUACUACGCCUUAUAUUAAGGUGUAAAUAUGCACCUUAAAUAUACAGGUAGAGGGGCUUCACAAUUUUGUCAUGGGAGAUUUCGCCUCUGCCAAGAGUUUAAAAAAAAAGAGAAAGUCCUUCCAAAGUUAACCCGGGUCCUUCCCUUUCUAGGCCGUUUAAUGGCUAUUGUUGUUCUUUCCUUUCUAGCCCUUGUUUAUUUCACCUUUUGAUUGACUUUGUGUCUGUAGGAUCUACCAGUUUGAAAUCACACUCCUGGUGGCUCAAGGAAUACAGCCCGUUCCAGUGGAGGGUGGCCCCGAUCCAUGUAGGUCCUUGUGAGGGACUUCUGCACCUUGAGGGGAGGCUCAGUUCAGUGGUCCCUGUCCAGCAGGGAGAAGUUUUGAUAGAAGAAAGCUUCAGCCCCUUAACCCUUAAGAAUGAGGGUGUAGACCCCUCAGCGGGGAAUGAGACAGGUUGGGGCAGUUUGCUUCAGUUGAGUGUACCUGGACAAAAGUCACAUCAAGCAUCAAAAUACAAAGAAAUUGUAAGGGGCUAAAAGUAAUUGCAUGCAGGUGCAGUUGGAAAAAAUAAUCAACAACAAGAUACAAAUAGACCAAAAACCCAAGGCGAUUUCAGAGCAGCCGGGAGCAAAAGCAGGGUACUGGUCAUGAUCCCUACACACAGCACCACCAAGGGGGAACAAAUCACCCAGCUCACCUCCCUGGCCUGAAUCCAGGACCUGCCCGCACCCUCAUCUCAUAUGC